GUUUAGGAGAGAGUUGGAGGGAUUUAGAUUCAAAGGCUGGGGUGGUUUGCAUUGGAAAUAUGCUUGGAAUUUAUCGCAGCUGCUGAAAGUGGGAUCGCCUGGAGGUGCACAGAUUGUGGAAUUACAGCUGUUCUGUGGAACUGAGGAUCCUCUGGUGGCUCAGCUGUAAAGAAUCCGCCGGCAAUGCAGGAGCCACAGGAGAUGCAGCCAGGCUUCAGCAAUAUGUGAACCGUGAACUUCCAGAUGUUCGAGCUGGUUUUAGAAAAGGCAGAGGAACCAGAGAUCAAAUUGCCAACAUCCGCUGGAUCAUGGAAAAAGCAAGAGAGUUCCAGAAAAACAUCUAUUUCUGCUUUAUUGACUAUGCCAAAGCCUUUGACUGUGUGGAUCACAAUAAACUGUGGAAAAUUCUGAAAAAGAUGGGAAUACCAGAUCACCUGACCUGCCUCUCGAGAAACCUGUAUGCAGGUCAGGAAGCAACAGUUAGAACUGGACAUGGAACAACAGACUGG
ensembl:lncRNA